rnacentral:rRNA from 1 species
GAUGAACGCUGGCGGCGUGCCUAAUACAUGCAAGUCGAGCGAACGGACGAGAAGCUUGCUUUUCUGAUGUUAGCGGCGGACGGGUGAGUAACACGUGGAUAACCUACCUAUAAGACUGGGAUAACUUCGGGAAACCGGAGCUAAUACCGGAUAAUAUUUUGAACCGCAUGGUUCAAAAGUGAAAGACGGUCUUGCUGUCACUUAUAGAUGGAUCCGCGCUGCAUUAGCUAGUUGGUAAGGUAACGGCUUACCAAGGCAACGAUGCAUAGCCGACCUGAGAGGGUGAUCGGCCACACUGGAACUGAAACACGGUCCAGACUCCUACGAGAGGCAGCAGUAGGGAAUCUUCCGCAAUGGGCGAAAGCCUGACGGAGCAACGCCGCGUGAGUGAUGAAGGUCUUCGGAUCGUAAAACUCUGUUAUUAGGGAAGAACAUAUGUGUAAGUAACUGUGCACAUCUUGACGGUACCUAAUCAGAAAGCCACGGCUAACUACGUG